rnacentral:lncRNA from 15 species
UAUGUUUUUACUUUAGUGUAUAAUUACCUGAAAAUAAUCCUUGUGUUUUAGUUACCUUAAAAUUAUCUGUUUUUAUCUACAGAGAGAGUGUGUCUCUUCUACAGAGUCCACCAUGUUUCUACAGUAGCCCAGAAUGGACAAACCAAACACUGGCUCUAGAUAGGGCCUUUCACAUUUUCCCGAGUUUUGCGGCCACCAUAGUUUCUCAUACAAGCUUGGAAGUAAUCUUCGCCGCUAGAUGCCACAAUAUUCUACACACUGGACCUUUUUAAUGAUUUUGUUUUCAACUCUAAAAAUGACUUUCAAAUGGUCAGGGUAUUGUGUUGAAUCAAGCCUUUCUUUGGCCCUGCAGGGGAAGAUGGGCGAUUUGGGUACACUUGGUCCUCCAGGGCGACACGGUGCAUAUGGUGACACUGGUCCACGUGGAGGAAAAGGUGAAAUAGGUAGACCAGGCUUUAAGGUAGGUAUUUAGACUUCACUUUAGACUAUUUGUUUAAUUUGAUAGUUUAUUUGUAUUUAUGUUUGUUAACAGAGACCAAAAGUGCUGUACCCAGAGCCAUAGAAAUGUCUACUGCAGAAUUCUAAAAAGGCUACAUAAAAAUACAAAUAAAAGUAGUAUUAUUAUGGUUAUUACCUCUCCUAGGGGUCGGACUGUGCAUUGCAUUUUUGAGAAGAACAUUUCUUUGUAAUAUGGCUCACUGCAUUACAAAGUUAAAAGGCAGCUGGCUGUUUUGUGCAAGCAUGGACAUAUAUCACUGUUUCAUCAGCAUAAAGCUGGACAUAAGGCUGAACACUAAUAUACAUACUAAAUAAAAGUAGAUUGAUUCUAGUCUUCCACUAGCAUGGGCUGUUGUACGCAGUAUGAUUUUUUUUAAAGAGAAUAUGCUCUGUAUUUCCCUCUAUGCAGGGAGAACCUGGGGCUAUAGGACCAACUGGCCCCCCUGGUGGAGAAGGGUUGAAGGGAAUGCUAGGCCCUGUUGGAGAGCCAGGAAGAGCUGGUCAAAAGGGAGAGCAGGGGGAUAUUGGUCCAUCUGGUAGACGAGGUGCUCCUGGCCUGCCUGGGCUCCCUGGUUUGUUUGGACAUAAGGGUUUGAAAGGAUUUACUGGACCACCAGGCAACGUUGGAGAAAAAGGCUUACCUGGUCCACCUGGCCCACCCGGACCCCGAGGAACCUCCCUGAACCUCACACUGACUCAGCUGAAGGAGCUCACGUACAUGUCCGACAAGCCCAACUACAUCCUGGUCCAGACUCUGUUGGACUCCCUUCAGAGAGAUCUUCACUGGUUCAUAAACCCACCAGAUGGCAGCAAACAACAUCCGGCUACUACAUGUCUUGAGCUGUGGCUCGCUCAGCCCAACUCCACUAACGGUGAGACUUGACAUUCACUGAUGCUCGGAAUAAUUACACGGAGGGAAAAUAUAAACUGAAAUAACCAUACGUGUCUGUAGGUUGGAAUGGCUUUCAUGUUUACCAGCAGGU